GACGAACGCUGGCGGCGUGCUUUAUACAUGCAAGUCGAACGAUGAAGUUCCUUCGGGAAUGGAUUAGUGGCGAACGGGUGAGGAACACGUGAGAAACCUGCCUUUCAUUCUGGGAUAACACCGGGAAACCGGUGCUAAUACCGGAUACUCCAUCUUGGCGGCAUCGCCGAGCUGGGAAAAAAUUUUGAUGAAAGAUGGUCUCGCGGCCUAUCAGCUAGUUGGUGAGGUAAAGGCUCACCAAGGCGACGACGGGUAGCCGGCCUGAGAGGGCGACCGGCCACACUGGGACUGAGACACGGCCCAGACUCCUACGGGAGGCAGCAGUAGGGAAUAUUGGGCAAUGGGCGAAAGCCUGACCCAGCGACGCCGCGUGAGGGAUGAAGGUCUUCGGAUUGUAAACCUCUUUCAGUAGGGAAGAAGCGAAAGUGACGGUACCUAAAAAAGAAGCACCGGCUAACUAUGUGCCAGCAGCCGCCGUAA
rnacentral:rRNA from 1 species